rnacentral:rRNA from 1 species
UUGACCUCAAAUCAGGCGGGACUACCCGCUGAACUUAAGCAUAUCAAUAAGCGGAGGAAAAGAAACUAACAAGGAUUCCCCUAGUAACUGCGAGUGAAGCGGGAUGAGCUCAAAUUUAAAAUCUGGCGUCUUCGGCGUCCGAGUUGUAAUUUAGAGAAGUGUUUUCCGCGCCGGACCGUGUACAAGUCUCCUGGAACGGAGCGUCAUAGAGGGUGAGAAUCCCGUCUUUGACACGGACCCCCGGUGCUCUGUGAUACGCUCUCGAAGAGUCGAGUUGUUUGGGAAUGCAGCUCAAAAUGGGUGGUGAACUCCAUCUAAAGCUAAAUAUUGGCGAGAGACCGAUAGCGAACAAGUACCGUGAGGGAAAGAUGAAAAGCACUUUGGAAAGAGAGUGAAACAGUACGUGAAAUUGUUGAAAGGGAAACGCUUGAAGUCAGUCGCGUCCGCCGGAGCUCAGCCGCAAGGUGUACUCUCUGGUGGACGGGCCAGCAUCACUUUCGAUCAUCGGAAAAGGGCGAGGGGAAUGUGGCACCUCCGGGUGUGUUAUAGCCCUUUGUCGUAUACGGUGACCGGGAGUGAGGACCGCCUUUUGUAGGAUGCUGGCGUAAUGGCUUU